rnacentral:rRNA from 1 species
CAGGACGAACGCUGGCGGCGUGCCUAAUACAUGCAAGUCGAACGGUCUUUCUAUGGAAGCUUGCUUCCACUGAGAAGAUAGUGGCGAACGGGUGAGUAACACGUGGGUAACCUGCCCAUAAGAGGGGGAUAACAUCCGGAAACGGGUGCUAAUACCGCAUAGUUUUCUUGAUCGCAUGAUUGAGAAAGGAAAGACGGCCUUUGUGCUGUCGCUUAUGGAUGGACCCGCGGCGUAUUAGUUAGUUGGUGAGGUAACGGCUCACCAAGACGAUGAUACGUAGCCGACCUGAGAGGGUGAUCGGCCACAUUGGGACUGAGACACGGCCCAAACUCCUACGGGAGGCAGCAGUAGGGAAUCUUCCGCAAUGGACGAAAGUCUGACGGAGCAACGCCGCGUGAGUGAAAGAAGGUUUUCGGAUCGUAAAACUCUGUCGUCAGAGAAGAACAAGUUGGAGAGUAACUGCUCCAGCCUUGACGGUAUCUGACCAGAAAGCCACGGCUAACUACGUGCCAGCCGCCGC